rnacentral:snRNA from 1 species
CAGCCGUGUAGAAAUCACAGAGCGAAUAAUUCUUUCGCCUUUUACUAAAGAAUUCCGUGUGAUUGCUACUUUAACGGCAUACGCAAAUUUUUUCAAGGAUCUUUCCN